CCUACGGGAGGCAGCAGUGGGGAAUUUUGCGCAAUGGGCGAAAGCCUGACGCAGCAACGCCGCGUGAGUGAUGAAGGUUUUCGGAUCGUAAAGAUCUGUCAGAGGGGAAGAAACUCCCGGGAGAUAAUAUCGCCUGGGCCUGACGGUAACCUCAAAGGAAGCACCGGCUAACUCCGUGCCAGCAGCCGCGGUAA
rnacentral:rRNA from 1 species